AAUUAAAUAUGUGUUGCAUCAUGCAUUUUAACACUUAGGGCACAUCAUUUAGAUUUUAAUUUUUUGUUUUUAAAUUUUCGUACCUUUAAUUGUGGUGAUCGCUGGAGGACCCUAAGGUGCGUUAAUUUCUUUCUUUCUCUAGAUUAGGACACGUAGUUUAAGCAUCCAUAGUUGUUUAUCGCUUUAAUUAUCUCGUUGUGUGAUGCAUCAUUUUAAAUAAAUCUUAAGGGC
rnacentral:lncRNA from 1 species